GAUGAACGCUGGCGGCGUGCCUAAUACAUGCAAGUCGAGCGAACGGACGAGAAGCUUGCUUCUCUGAUGUUAGCGGCGGACGGGUGAGUAACACGUGGAUAACCUACCUAUAAGACUGGGAUAACUUCGGGAAACCGUAGCUAAUACCGGAUAAUAUUUUGAACCGCAUGGUUCAAAAGUGAAAGACGGUCUUGCUGUCACUUAUAGAUGGAUCCGCGCUGCAUUAGCUAGUUGGUAAGGUAACGGCUUACCAAGGCAACGAUGCAUAGCCGACCUGAGAGGGGGAUCGGCCACCCUGGAACUGAGCCACGGUCCAGACUCCUCCGGGAGGCAGCAGUAGGGAAUCUUCCGCAAUGGGCGAAAGCCUGACGGAGCAACGCCGCGUGAGUGGUGAAGGUCUUCGGAUCGUAAAACUCUGUUAUUAGGGAAGAACAUAUGUGUAAGUAACUGUGCACAUCUUGACGGUACCUAAUCAGAAAGCCACGGCUAACUACGUG
rnacentral:rRNA from 1 species